GUACAGGUAUAAGUGCAGGUACAGGUACACGCGCAAGUACACGUGCAAGUACAGGUGCAAGUACAAGUGUAGGUACAAUAGCAACUACAAAUGUAACUACAAAUGCAACUACAAAUGCAACUACAAAUGCAACUACAAGUGGUUUGGGUAACAAAUAUAACAUUAAUAAUGUUUUUGAUUUUGUAUAUAAAAGUGAUAAUAUUCAUCAAGUUAAAACAAAUGACAAAUUAAAAAAUGAAAAAAAAACGAACGAGUUAUAUGAUAAUAAAAAUAACAUAUAUAGGGAGAUGAGUACACAACAAAGGACAGCUACACAAGAAGGUAGUUCUGAUUAUAAACAUCAUGUACGUAAUGUGUUGAACAAGUAUGAUAACAUGUUUAACAAUAAAAAUAUGAAUAGUCAUAAUUCACAUAAGGAUCUACUUGAUAUAGAAUUUGAUACUACUUAUGACAGUACAUCAUGUUAUAAAAAAGAAACAUGGCCUAACGAAUUGGAACUAAACGAGGGAAUAAUCGAACGGCAUUUCAAUAAAGAGAGUAUAAAGAAUAGAAGUAGUAGUGGUAAUAACAAUAGUAGUAGUAGUAUUAAUAAAAAAGAAGAAAAAAAUAAAAAAACAUUAACAUUUAAUACAGCAAAAAAAUGGUUAACAAACCAGUUAAAUCAUAAGAAUAUACUUAAUAUAUUAUCAGAUAUAACAAGCUAUGAUGUUAAAAAUGUAAAUGACAAUUACGAAAUUUCAUCAUUCAAAUCGAAAAGAAACAGACAAGAAAACAGUUAUGGUAUAAAUGAAAAUAAAAAUAAUACAAAUGAAGAUAGUAGUAGUAAUAGUAAUAGCAAUAGUAGUAUUAAUAAUAAUAAUAAUAGUAGUAAUAAUAAUCGUUUAUAUAUUUUAGAUAAAAUAAAGAUGAAAAAAACUUAUAGAAAGUAUAGAUCAGGAAGAAAACAUGUAAAUAGUACUAAAACUGAAAAAGUUAAUACAAUUGAAAAUGGAUAUACAUAUACAAACCAGAGUAAUAACAAUAAAUCACAAGAACAAAAUUUAUUAUCAUCAGAUAUAGAUGCUAAUUUACUUUUUUAUAAUAAUAAUGUUAGAGAUCAUGAUAAAAAUGGUUUUGUUAGUGAUACAGCUGUUAACACUACAUAUGUGAGAAAUAAAGAAUAUGAUAUUAAACGUAUGGAUAUUCUAAAAACACAUACAAAAAAUAAUAUACAGACAUAUAAUAACAAAAAUGAACAAAAUAAAUUCGAAAAGGAGAUGGAAAGCAUGAAAAGAGAAUGUGAAGAAGGUAAAAAAAGUGAAUAUACUUAUGACUUGUUUGAUAUUAAUGAGUAUUUUGAAAAAAAUAUAAAAGUAAUGGAUAAAAAUGAUAAUUUAAAAUCGAAAACGAAGAUAAUUACUAAUAAUGAAAAAAAAAUAAAAAAUUCGGAUAUGGGAGAAGUUGAUUAUGGUUUGUCGGAUUAUAGUUUGAUUGACGAAACAAAUGUAACUAAAGAUGGUUAACUAAAGUGGGUGUAAAAAAUCAAUUAAAGAAGAGUAGUAGUAUUGAUGAUUAUAUUCUGAAUGCGCAUUUCGAUAUUAAAUCAGCAAAGGUUGAAUCAGUAGGAGUGGAAAAAAAAUAUAAAAAACAGUAACAAUAUUAAGGACAGUAAUAAUAUUAAGGACUUUAAUAAUAUUAAGGACAGUAAUAAUAUUAAGGAUAGUAAUAAUAUUAAGGAUAGUAAUAAUAUUAAGGACAGUAAUAAUAUUAAGGAUAGUAAUAAUAUAAAAAACAGUAACAAUAUAAAAAACAGU
ensembl:lncRNA